GGCGGCGCCUGGAGACACACACGCGGUUAAGACAACAACAGAAAACAAUUGAGCUCGUUAGCAGAGCGCUAAUUAACGUCACGUGUCCAGCGCUCAGUGGCGGGCCGGGAGUGGCGCUAGUUUAACGCAACUGGGUCACAUCAGCGGGGGAAACCAACGCCGCACGCGACGCAGACGACGCGCUGAGUUUUGUAACGUUAACGUUGUACUCUUGUAAAACAGGCGCGCGACGUUAGCCCAGAGUUCAAAGUUUGCCACCAGGAUGUGUUACGUUUAGCUAACGUUAGGUUACUUAACAUUUAAACGUUACCUAAUUGUUGCCGAACCGCGCAGAACUGAUGUCGGCCACAACAACAACAACAACAUCAACAACACGCGGCCAAACAUGGCUUCCGUCCUAAAGGACACGCGCACCUUUUACCAGACGGCCGUGGUCGGACGAAUCAACACAUGUCCGCGUGUCGCGUCUGUCCCCGCAGUUCAGAACGAUGCGCGCAGAUGCGUCACCGGAGGGGCGCGCGAGACGCUGCCUCCCGGUUCGCGGGCGGGAGCGCGCGAGGCGACCCGGGAGCUGCGGCGUCUUCCGCUUCCCAGAAGUGGGCGUGGCCCCGCCGGAAGGAAGCGCGUUCUUACGUCUCCGCCCACGUCACUGCAACGACGCAGAGUGCAACGCAUGAGCCGAGUCAUUACUUUCUUUGAAAUUGCAAGCGAAUACAUUUGAAAGUAGACAAUUUGCAUACUUCAAAAAGAAAAAUCUUGGGAAAUCUGGUCACUUUUGUUCCCGUUACCCAUUUUGAUUCCUAAAUAAUCACCAUCAUCGAAACCCAAGACAAAUUGCAGGAAACAAUUGAUUUGGAGUGUGAUCUUAUAUUAUGCAAACUCCUUUUAUGCAUAUUUUGUUUACUGGACUGGAUCAGUAGAGAAUUGACAGAAUAAACAACAAUCGUUUUCUUGUAUAGUUUGUAAGUAAGUAUGUGCCCAGUCAUUUUUUUUUAUCAUAAAAAACAUUUAUGAUAAACAAAAUGAGUUUGUUUAUGAAUUCCCCGUCUGUCCCAGGAGGCGGGAACCAGUAAUCCAGCUGGUGGUAUCUUUCACAACCCAGUGGUUUCCACUGAGCACGUUUUUUUUCUUCUUCUUUCUUUUUACUUUGCUGCAUUUGUUCUUCAGAGAUUGUGAAGGUCUUAAUGGGUCAAUGUGUGUUUUAUUCGUAUUACUUCAACUUCCACUAAGCACAAUAUGACCAGAAUACUCACCAGGCAGUGAUUGUACAGCUGCUGUCUCACGGCUCAGCACAUUGAAAGUUCAAAGGUUACCUGAGAUUGGAUGCUGACAAGAUGCGUCCGAACAAGGUGAGGUGACCUCGAGCGGGACGUCGGAUCCAAUCAUUCAGAAUACAGGAUCAAAAUACAUUUUGGGAUAGUUUUGUGAACGUUGAAGGAAAUUCAACAUCUUCUGCCAGGGUUUAACAAACAAAACCAUAGAAUAAAGAUGUGAACAAAUACAAACAAUUGACUAAUUAUUACAUGUAAAAGAAGUAAUAAUGACCCGUUUGUAAAAUACAAUAGAAUUGCAUUAAGAGUAAAGCAAAAAGUCGGGAAAGGCAAGGAGAGCACUAAACAGCCACAGAGAAGAUAUAAAUAUAAAGUAUGGUUGUAUCUCCUUGGUGUCCAGAAGGUGGUGGUGCCCCCCCACUCAGGAUAUAAUCCCUGUGAAACAUUAGCGGUCGGGAAGAGACAAAAUCUGAGAUGAAAAGGUCUGAUCUAAAAUCCAAAUUGUAUAAUCUAAAUACUGUGUUUAGUAGCCGUUUGUUUCAUUACUACAGUUGAUAUGACGUGGUUUAACACGGGAGCAAAGGUGGAUUUUAAGAUGUGUAGCACAUGACCUUCAAAGACAGCUGACAUUUUAGAAUACUUUUAUUAAAGGUCUGUAUUUGAGGUCUUUCCCUCACUAUUGCUCGCUGUUCUACAGGCCACAAUAAACCAACUGUGAUACUCUAUGUUCUCACACACACACACAUAUGAACAUGUUUCCAUUGUUAUUUUCUCACUAUUUGAUCACAAUGACAUUUUAAUUACCCUUUAUUGUUGGCUUUAUGGUAAACCACAUUUAGUCAAGAAGUAGAAAUAAAACAUGCAUAAGAACUUGCCAUGAAAUAAAGAUGUUAGAAAUCCAACACAAGUAUUUUUAAUUGAGGGGGAAAAGAAGGAAGAAAUGAACAAACAACAACAACAACAACAAAUAAAAAUAUUAUUAGUGCGUGAAGUUGAAAAAAAUGACUCAAAUAAUAAUAGUCAAGUUACGUUAUGAUGAAUACGGAACUGACAAAGAAGUGGGCCGAUGAAUGAUGCUUAGAAAAACUUCAUUAGCAGGAAAGGGACUUUAGAGUCUGUCAUCAUCGUAGUUCCUCUUACUCUGGUAAUACAACGAACGGUUAAAGAAGGGGGAGAUACAGACAUGACAUUUAAAUGUCCAUGUAAGGAUGGAAAAAGGAAGCCUUUUGAAAAAGUGGACCCAUUUUAAAAACUUAAAUAGCGCAGAGCCCCGAGGCCUUCGGGAGUUCAACCUUUCAGUAAAGUUUCAGUACAGCAGAACAAUCGCUAGAAACAAUUGGGAAGAAACGGAGCAGUUAUACAUUUUGUUAACUAAACACAGACUUUAAUUUCAUGGUAAUCCUAAUAUCCUUCUUUACUGUUCUAAAUAGGAUUGAAUUAUUCUAAAUGGUGCCCAUCUACUAACCUCCAUGUAGUACAUCUCAGGGCCAGGAUUCAGUCUCAGAAUACAUUUUCGGAUAACAUACAAUUUUAUACAUAAUAGAAACCAUAGAAAAACAGUGAAGAUUGACUCAAUUCAGCCGCUUCCCUUUAAGCACUUAUUUUGACCCUCGGAGCAUUUCCAUGAUACCUGAGGUCACGAGAGGUCAGGGAGGGACAGAGCUAUCUGGACCGAAGCAAAGUCGAGCGUACCGCUGAUGGAUGAAUAAAACGUUGUCUCGCCUUCAGGAUUGCCACAUUAGCGACGAGGGACACAUCUGCUGUGAAGCGAAUUAAAAGGAUGGCGUGGUCAUUAGGCGGCGCACAGAAAGCCCAGCUGUUCACCGCAGUUGUAACAUUAGUCUCCCUCUUUUACUUGUUCCGAGGAACGGUGUAAUUUUUCUUUUUUAAAUUUGCACACAUGAGGACACAAACAGGGCUCUUUUUCAAAACAGGCAUUUUCCAAAGAAAAAGGCCUCAGUAGAGAUCAGGUGGCUUUCAUCUGGUCCAGUCAGAAAGACAGAAGGCCGUUGUCCCGUUUUCAUGCUUUCUCAAGAAAUCAGCUUGGCUCGCUUGGAGAGGAGUUCUCUGGAAUCUGCUCUGCGCUAGUUAACUCUCUCUCAGCCCCUUUUCUGCAUCUUUAUAUUUCACAAUAUUUACCUGCACGAUGCCUUGCGACAUCACCGAUUUCUCCCUGAUACAAAUCAUUAACACGGUACCCUUCUUCACCGAAGGGAAAGUCACGCCGACUGACAAUUUAAUGUCCACAUUAAAACGAUACGAGGGAGUUUAAAGUGUCACGCUUUGCAAUAAAAUGAAACAUCGAAAAAGAGAACUGUUGCACAAUCAACGGCCACAUUUACUGUCCAGCAAACUGGCAGGACGUUUAAUGUCAGCGAUGCCCAUGCAGGGUGCAAACCAAUGUAACGCUCACCCAAAGUUGCUUGUGAGAGCGACGGAAAAGUCUCUGGCUUUUUCCCAAAUCCCCAGUGGGUGGCUGCCUUCUCAGCCGCCCUCGAGACUAUACGGCUUCCUCGUGUCAACAUCAGCCUCAGUCCAAACUGAAACUAAUUGUCUGCUCUUGCAGCCGUUACAAUGGCGCGAGCUUUGGCUCAAGCGGACGCCGAGCGCACCUAAGAGCUUAGCUCCCAGACACAGAAGGAAAAAAACAGGCUUGAGAAGUUCAUGAUUUCAUUCUGAUUUUCCCAGCUGCCGUUUCCGUCUUCCUUCGCUCAGCCUCUUGUACUCAGUAUCGGCUGUGAUAAGGCCGCAGUGGUGAAUGUUAUCAGCGGCAAUGUUUUUCAAGACAGCGCUACCUCUGAGUUUGCAGAGGUCCUCUUUUCCUAGUAGAGCAGCAGAUUGUAAAUGUUUGUAUUACUUGGUAUUUCCCCGGCUGCACUGGGUUUACUGGUGUAGCUGACAUUGAUAUUGGUGUUUGUUUUUCAACUUUGACAGGUUAACAUUUUAGAAAGAAAUGCUGAAACACUGAAGAAAGAGAAAUUCUGUGCUUUCCAAAUACGCUACUUUUUAGUACGCCAGAAAACAAGUAUUAGCAUACGUCGCAUUGUCCAAUGCAGUACGUCAAAAAUACCUGGAUGUUCUACUAUAUCUGCAUCUGCGAGCCAGCAACUUGGAAUGCAGCUUAAGUCCUCGUACCAUGAGGCAUAUCCCCCCUUUGGGUGUCCAGACUCUGGUGGUGGGGGAGAAUAAGUUGCUGCAAUCCUGUGAUAUGCCGGGUUUUCCUGCGGAUUGGAGGUGGCGGGAGUUGGUGGGGCUGAAUUUGUCUGACUCUAUAUGAAUGUAAUACAAAAAUAAUAAUACUGUGACUGUAGAUGGACCUGCAAGACUAUAAUAUAAACUAAACUUUCUGUAAUGCACCCUGUUGCAUUGCUGGGUGUAAGAAAUUGAUCACAGUUUUUUAAAUGAUGGGUAGCAGGAACUAAUAUGUCUGUCUGGUCUUUUCAUGAAUGACACGUGAUAAAUUUACCCAAAUCCAAAAGCCUUCUCUCCCCUCUCUAUUAUUAUGAGACCCACAACAUUGGGACUUUCCAGCUACUCACAUGCUCAUCACAUGUUACAUUCACAUCUGUUUUCUAUGAGGAGGGGGGGGGG
ensembl:lncRNA